CAAAACCGGAAACUGAGCCCUUGCUUAUAACUGAAAUUUCUUUCCCGUAGAUGAUGUGUGUACCCUCAUUAUACGCGCUCGUAACUCAUCAUGCCUACCGCCACCCCCUCAUCCCCGCGCUGCGUCGCCUUCUUCGCCAACCUCCGCUGCCACGACGGAAAUGCCCACCCCCACCCCCACCCCCUGCCGAGGAGGACGAGCAGAGCCAAGGGGAAUUAAUUAAUUAAUUAAUUACUUACAAGAGGGUAUUUCGAGGAUUAAUUUCACGCUUGUUAUAUAAAGAGGCCAUGCCAGGUAUUGCUUGUUAGCAAUCCCCUGUUCUAUCGUACUACUUCUUUAGUACUCUUCUAUAUAUGCUAUUGCGAGUGUUAUAUAUUAUGUAUGUACUUAUGAAGUUGCGUACAAAUUCAUUUCGUUGAGUUCUCUCUUUUUCUUUUUCUUUUUUUAAGGCCAGAUCGUAAUCCAGUCAAUAUUUGGAUAUAUAGCAUUUGAACAGCCAAUUUUUUUGCGUUCACCCAUGCAGAUUAAAACGUUUGAAUGAAAAACAAAAAUUGUAACAUAUAAUGCAGGUAAUCCGUAAUAUGGUUUGUGUUUUGCGUUGUAACUUGAUAUAUAGACUCUUGUUUUGCACAAGAUAAUCUUAUGCAGUUAAUUUUUACUUAGAUGAUAAAUUUUAAGUAUUUGAAAUUCGUGAAUUACAAUUGCACUUGAUGGAAAGUGAACACUGCUUCUGAGGAGGAUAUGUGACUCUAUGUAGAUGCCAUAUUCUUUGAACGCAUUAUGAAGUUUGUAAUAAAGAGAGUUUUCUAGAAUUAGAUGCAUAUCUUUGGGGCCAACCCAACCACGAGGAAUCAUUGAAAUGCUUAGCCAUCAUGUUUUUAUGCAUAUAAAAAAUAUCGGUGGAUACUCUACUUUAUCCGGCCUGGCCCAGAAAAAAGCCCAAUGAAUUUGGGCCCAUGCCUG
rnacentral:lncRNA from 1 species